AUGUAUGUUACACAGAUUAUGUCACAACCCAGUUUUCAAGGAACACAUUUUUUAAAAACUAACCUUCUGAAUUAUUUGCAAAGUCAUCAGAACAUGUAGGAAAAGUACAUAUUUCAGUAAACAUAGCCAAGCAAGCAACAAAAUAUAAUGUUUUUUACAUUAUAUAUUACACAUUUGCGUAAGAUAUGACGCCAUUCCUCCACAGGAGUCGCGGUGAAUUGGAGGGUCGUGUGCGUGCGGUCAUGCUGUGGGCAGCCACAUUCGGCCCAAGGAGCUGGCAUCUUCUCCAUUGUUUUCUUGUCUUCUGAGAAAGGGGCCGACUUGUAGGUUUCACUUUGUGUUCUAGUAAGAUUCUCUUCCUUUUCCUAGGGCUAAUUUUCACCUAGAUUGUGUUUGAGUAGUUUUUGGAGUCACACAGGGAAAUACAGAGGAGAGGCAGUGAGAUGAUGUAAACGCGUGUGCUGGGGGACUUCAGAGGUAGUGCGGGAAGUGCCCCUCCUGAGCCCUCACAGUCAUCUCCGUCAGGGAGGAGUUGACGUGGGAGCACGAGGCCUCCUGUCUCCCACAUGUAGAUAAAUGACACCACCCCUCCGACCAGAAACCCCAGUGAGCGCUGUCCUUGAUUCCUUUCUCGCCCCCACGGCCCUCCGCUCAGCCUCGGAGCUGUGUUGAUUCGACCUCGUGGGUUUAUUUCCCACCUGUCUCUUUUCUGUGUUUAUCGUUGCUGCCCUCGCCCAGAUCACCUUCAGUUCUCACUUGCAUAACGAAACAGUUUUCUCACAGGUCUGCCUGCUGCCGGUUGUCUGCAAACCACUUUCUGCAUCCGCAAAGGAACCUCCCCACGUCACCUCCCCUCCCAGGGCUUUUCUCCACGUUGAUCAGUCAUCGCCUGAGACUGCAAGAUGGGAAGCCACAGGAGCAGGGCCUGGGCCCGGGGCCACGAUUUCCUGCUGCUGCUGGGCACACGGGGGGCUCCUGCUGUCAGAUGAGGAAACAGAAGCCCAGAGUUUAAACACACCACUGAAAGCCAAAGAGCUCCUGAGUGCCAGCCCAGGUCUUCGACCGCUGUCUUCCACUGUGCUUAAGGACGCUCCGCAGAGGAGAGAAAAGUGAAGGAUCAAAGCAAGGGCAUGGGGCGCCUUGGCUCAGAGCCCGCCUCUGCCUUUUCUGCUUGUGUCGCAGUGAGCGAGUUACUGAUGUCUUCAGGCCUCAUUUGCUUCGGCGGCAAAAUGGAUUUUGCCUUUCCCAUCUCAAACAUUGUGAGAAUUAAUAAAAAGAAUCCUAUAAAGUACUUCA
rnacentral:lncRNA from 1 species